UGGAAUGAGACUGAAUGUUGCUCUUCA
rnacentral:piRNA from 1 species